rnacentral:rRNA from 1 species
AGGCUCCUGAAGGAACGUUGAAGACGACGACGUUGAUAGGUCGGGUGUGUAAGCGCAGCGAUGCGUUGAGCUAACCGAUACUAAUGAACCGUGAGGCUUAACCUU